AUGAACCUGAACCAAACUGCAGAAGAACAGUUUCGGUCUGGUUCAAAGCUGGUUUCGGUUUUGACAGGUUUUGGUCGAACCGGUUCCGGUUCAAAAUCAGACCGUGGCCACCCUUAGUUGUUAUUGUGGUAAAAUGGAAAGGGGGUGCGCCUGCUUAAAUAGAAGAGGCAGGGAAAGGGGCGGUAGUACUGUACCCGAUCUCCAUGUCUAGUACUGUACCUGAUCUCCAUGUCAAUGUUGGAUUGGUAUGUGCUAUUUUUUUUUGUCUUUUUCCUCCUUUUUUUCUUCUAGCCAUCUUUCAAAGCUAAUAACAAUGCUCUUUCUAAAGGGCAAGUGCUAUACAUUCCUAAAGACGAGUGGCACCUAAAACAACCAUUGGAGCUUAUUUUGGUUGUGGGGCUGCCAAUGGACUCAAUUUUAGUCUGAAUCCUUUCCAAUUCUGAUUGAUCUAUUUGAUAGGGUAGAGAAGUUUAGCUCCACAUAUUUAAACAUAAUUUCAAGUUAAUCCAUUUAUUUGCAAAUAAAACAUGGUUGAUAUUAAUAUGAUCCAGUUGAUAUCUUAUUUGAAUAUAAACAUUAAUUUAAUCAAUAAUUUCAAAUUUUACCAUAGUUUCUAUCAUAUGUACACACAUACAUACAAAUUUUGUUUUCUUCUACACUCAAUUUCUUCGGUUUAUAUGACGUGCAUUCUUGUCUCUGUUUAUGUAUAUUGAAGACAUGAUUUUGUUAACUAUGCUUGAUGCGACCCUCAAGAACAAUGCUUUGAAACCCAUGAAUAGGUUUGAUUUAUAAUCCCAAGAAAGCAAAAUCAAGUUCAAACACCAAAGAAUACCUUGACCUAUCAAUUAUAUAGAAUUGAAAACCAAGAUAAUUCAAAGGUAGAAUUAAGGAUUCUUGACCCAAGGUUUAUAAUCAAACAAAAAUCAAGAAUAUCGAGAUUGUUAAAUCCUACAAGAUUA
rnacentral:misc_RNA from 1 species